rnacentral:rRNA from 1 species
GACGAACGCUGGCGGCGUGCUUAACACAUGCAAGUCGAACGGAAAGGCCCUGCUUUUGUGGGGUGCUCGAGUGGCGAACGGGUGAGUAAUACGUGAGUAACCUGCCCUUGACUUUGGGAUAACUUCAGGAAACUGGGGCUAAUACCGGAUAGGAGCUCCUGCUGCAUGGUGGGGGUUGGAAAGUUUCGGCGGUUGGGGAUGGACUCGCGGCUUAUCAGCUUGUUGGUGGGGUAGUGGCUUACCAAGGCUUUGACGGGUAGCCGGCCUGAGAGGGUGACCGGCCACAUUGGGACUGAGAUACGGCCCAGACUCCUACGGGAGGCAGCAGUGGGGAAUAUUGCACAAUGGGCGGAAGCCUGAUGCAGCAACGCCGCGUGCGGGAUGACGGCCUUCGGGUUGUAAACCGCUUUCGCUUGUGACGAAGCGUGAGUGACGGUAAUGGGUAAAGAAGCACCGGCUAACUACGUG